rfam:Schistosoma mattheei strain Denwood, Zambia genome assembly, scaffold: SMTD_scaffold0028386
AGCCUUCUGUAUCCAUGCUGAGAUUUCAUCGCACACCAGACCACAAGGGUUGAUGAGACCUCCCAGAUAAGUGAAGCG